rnacentral:misc_RNA from 1 species
ACUGCACACGACUCUUAGCAACUCUAACCUACCGACAAGACGGAAACACUCACCCAUGUCCAAAACAGGCGAGGUGAAAGUGCAGACAUACCAAGAGCGACAAAAGCACGUGGAAGAAAGACGAGAGAAAUGCAGAAUACGCCCUGCUGCGGGUCACUGGAAUGAGCAGAUGCGGUUCUAGCACAAGUACCAGUCCCCAUCGUACGAGUCCAGUGCCAGUACAUACAGUAGCCACAUCACGAACACGUUGAGCUACUGUACGAGCACGGCAUCGGCAGCUACCUACAAGUGCAGUAGUCGCUCUGUGCGUCUUCUGUAGCUAGAGUCCGUUGUUGGUUCAUGCCGUCCGUUGUUGGUUCAUGCCGCCCGUGCUUGGUUCAUGCCGUCCGUGCUUGGUUCGUACCGUCCGUGCUUGUUGAUACCGUCCAUGCACAGGGACAAAUUCCAGGCAGGAUACAGCUCAUCGGCAUGAGGUCUUGGGCUGGUGUUGGCUGGUGUUGGACUGUUCUUCGGCAUGUUCUAGGAGCAAUGUCGGAUUCUGGACAAGUGGGUGGGCCGAUUGAACAUUCACUAGUGCAAUAACCACAAUUGUCCGUCUAAUUGCGCCCUUGCUCGUCACACCAUCGAAUCUAGAUGACAAAAUUUUUCAAAUCCAACCCAAUCCAGCCUACAAGUUGGAACGUCGGGGAUGGCGACGGACAGACAGGGAGAGAGUUGAGGUUCGAGGUUUGGUUUGGUUUUAGUUUGGAACCGUCGCUAUUAUCAAACUGUAGUUGGCGCCUGGAGCUAAUCUACUUAUUAUAAAACACCUCAUCCACCAUCCCAGCUCCCAAUCACAGGCCGGUAUCCCGCACGUGGGCGAACUAGAGGUGGAAGAGAGCUCCUGGGAGAGGAACAUUGAUUCGCAAUUAAAAGAACGAUUAAAUUCGAUUAAUGAAAAUGCGAAACCCCAGGCAAUGGUAAUACAAGACCCCCAAUGUCGUUCAUAUAGAGUCGAGCCGUCAGUCCUGGAGGGGGUCCCCGACCCGAAAAAACACAGCCCAAAAGAAAAUCCCCAUUGCCUAUCAAACCUGUAUCAAUAAUCAUGACCGAGUCUGGAACAGUUGUCAACUCGCCUAAUCUGGACCCUGCAAGCCCACUCAAGCUACUCUCUGACAGCCCUAAACUCGCUGAGAGAUACUACUAUACUGGCAACAAGCUGCCGCUAGCAUGGGGGUCGUCGGAGCCCGACUUGGAGCCCAAUGCAACCUAUCAUGGUCACCACGAUCGAAUGGAGAUAACCGACAGAGGCUCAUUUGUCCGACUGUUCGGCCGACCUCAGAGAGACGGCCAAACCUACACUACCUACCUCCUAAGCGGCCGGUGCACCCCUAAAUCUACCUCCAUAUAAACAUUCCACCAAGAGCCAAACGGACAUAUAACAGAGUUUAGCACCAGAGCAGCACAGUGGAUAUUUCCCGGAAUACCGUAUAUGCCUCGAUCGACAUUUUGUUCGCGAGAUCAUGUCUGAGCGGGGCCGGCGGAGCUCCAACUCAUCUAGCGUGGACGAGUGUCGUGUGCCCCGAGUACGCCAAGAGUCUGACGUGACCUAGUGGCGAUGGCCAAGACCGGCUAAAGGGCGAGAUUACGUAGCCAAGACGUGUGCCAAGAGACGAUAUCCAGGCACGUGUUUGCAGACGACACCAUCCUGGCCUUCUUUGGACUAGCGCCAACCCUGUGGAAAAAGCAAAGCGAGGCUUGAUGCUAGCUUGUCAAAAGUUAGUUUGGCGGGUACGCAUUGUACCGGCGAGAUAUGGCUCUUGGCAGGGCUCUUUGUUGCGUGUAAACAACGGCGCCCCCACAGGGGUCUGCGUGCCUCGCUCGGUGCGCAAAACCGCCUCUGUAGACUGGCGAAUACGGCCGUCAAGCCCCAGACCAUGGCGGUGG